UUGCUUCAGCACCAAAUAUACUAAAAAUAUUGGAAUAAUACAGAGAAGAUUAGCAUGGACCCUGAACAAGGAUGGCAUGCAAAUUUGUGAAGUGUUCCAGAUUCUU
ensembl:snRNA U6 U6 spliceosomal RNA